ensembl:lncRNA
GCAGAAUUCCAGGUCUUGGCAUCUGUGUUUCAAGCAGGAGGGAGAAGGAAAAGGGUUAGGGUUGGUGGGUAGGCUCAGUGCGUAGGUAGGAUGCUUGCCUCAGACACACAAGGCCCCCAACACAACCCAAGCUGGCAGUGGUGAGAUAUAAAUGCCACUUGGUGUCAUGGUUAGUUUUUGUCAACUUGACACAAACCUAGACACACCAGGGAAGAAGAACUCUCAACUGAGGAAGAACCUUCAUUGGAUUGGCCAUUGGUAUCCCUACUCUAUUCUGCCAGGUAGUGGAAAUGUAAUCUCAGUCAUCAAAACAAUACAAAGCCAACCGACCGACCGACCACCAACCAACCAAUCAACCAACCAACCAAUCAACCAAUUGAAAAACAGCAGUGCUAUGUAAAGUGCAUGUAGGUGCCUUUGAAGGCCAGAAGAAGACGUCGGAUUCUGAGGAGCUGGAGUUACAGAUGGAUGUUAGCUGCCUCACAGAGAUGCUGGGAACCGAACUCAGGUGCUUUGUAACUUGGCCAGUGAGUGGCAAGGGCACCCUUAGUGCCUUCCAUAGGAUUUGUACAGCAAGGACCUGUGGUACUUCCCCUCCGACACAGACAACAGAAGCCACAGUGAGACACAGACAACAGAAGCCACAGUGAGACACAGACAACAGAAGCCACAGUGAGACAUCAGCUGCACUGGACACAACUGGAGUCUGCUUCUCCCAGAGGAGGGGAUUUUCUAAGAUGCCAGAUCCCCUUACCUCCUGUGGAAUGCACAAUCAGUGUUAACAAUGGCAAUUAGACUCUGUGCCAUCUGGAUGGCCUGGGCAAGCGGAGCUGCACAGUGGCUGGCAGAAGGCAGAAGUUGAGCCAGGAUCAUAGAGGCAGCUUCUUUCUGUGGAGCUGGACCAUGACCAUUACAACCAGGAACAACUGCUGCUCAGUUCAUUGACUCAAGAACCACCCGAGUGUCAUGAUGGGAGUCCUUAAGAAAAGAGUCUUCUCUCUUAAUGGGUCCAACUUCAUAGGUCCUGAUGGUCACAGGCCUGGCUCUCCAUUCAGAACAGCUCCUGCCUACAGGUUCCUGCCCUGCUUGAGUUCCUGUCCUGACUUCCUUCAGUGAUGAACAAUGCUGUAGAAGUCAUUUUGAAGAAAUCUAACUGCAGCUGGGUUCAGCAGCCUUCGCUUUGGAGCUAUAAAACUACAAACGAUUUCCAACUACAAAUGACCAGUUUACUUCGAUGCUGCUGGAAUCCCCUCUCUAGUAAACGGUGGAGAGUCAGCAGUGCACAGGCUCCGCCUUGGCAGAGAGCCCUUGAUACUGCGAGCCUGUCCCAAGGUGUUAUUUAUUCUGUCGUUCCUCUGCUGACUUGAGCUGUGCUCUGGGCUGCCUUGCUGUGGUGACCACAUUCAGGGCUCUAACCCUGUUUUCCCAGCUUUUACAGUAGAAAAAAAAAUUAUUCUACACUCCAUUUAUUUCCAAGUAGAAAAGAAUCAGGGAGCCCUGCAGGGUGAAGGCAGAGGCGAGGUGUUCCAGAUAAGUGUCUCCCCCUCCGUAUUACUUAUUUAUUAAAGCCGCCGAGGCAUAACUAAGAGAAAGGAAAGGAACCAAGGAAAUAGAAAGUACAAUGGCCCCUCAGUUUUUAAUGGGAGAGAUGGCUGGAAGUGAUUCCUAAAUUAUUAAAUAAAUCGAUUUGAUUCUAG